GACGAACGCUGGCGGCGUGCUUAACACAUGCAAGUCGAACGGAAAGGCCCUGCUUUUGUGGGGUGCUCGAGUGGCGAACGGGUGAGUAACACGUGAGUAACCUGCCCUUGACUUUGGGAUAACUUCAGGAAACUGGGGCUAAUACCGGAUAGGAGCUCCUGCUGCAUGGGGGGGGUUGGAAAGUUUCGGCGGUUGGGGAUGGACUCGCGGCUUAUCAGCUUGUUGGUGGGGUAGUGGCUUACCAAGGCUUUGACGGGUAGCCGGCCUGAGAGGGUGACCGGCCACAUUGGGGCUGAGAUACGGCCCAGACUCCUACGGGUGGCAGCAGUGGGGAAUAUUGCACAAUGGGCGGAAGCCUGAUGCAACAGCGCCGCGUGCGGGAUGACGUCCUUCGGGUUGUAAACCGCUUUCGCCUGUGACGACGCGUGGGUGACGGUAGUGGGUAAAGAAGCACCGGCUAACUACGU
rnacentral:rRNA from 1 species